rnacentral:rRNA from 1 species
UAUUAUACUAAUAAAUAUUAUGAAAAUCUGAAUUAUUAAUAGAUAUAUUCUUUAAAUUUGAAGAAUUUGGCGGUAAUUUAGUCUUGUUAGAGGAACCUGUUUUUUAAUCGAUACACCACGUAUAAUCUUACUUAUCCUUAAAGUUUAUAUACCAUCAUUAGUAGAUAAUUUUUAAAAAAUUAAUUAUUAAAGUUUAAAAAAAAUUAACUUAAAUUAGAUCAAGGUGUAGCUAAUGGGUAAGUUAAAAUGGGUUACAAUAAAAUUUAUUUAGACGGAAUAAAUAUAAAGAAGUUAGUUUAUAGAAGGAGGAUUUAAUUGUAAUAUGAGUUUAAUAAGCUUAUAAGAUAUAAGCUCUAAAUUAU